GAAGAAAAGCGUGUGGGAGACGUGACUCUGACGUCUGUUUAAACGUGGCAGAGCUACUGAUGAGCUGCUCAGUGUGGAGAUGAAGCAGUGUGUGGAGCAGCUGGCCUGUAGGGGGCAGUACACAGCAGGAACCAAGACUGAUGUCAGUGUUGCUUGACUGGUGUGGAGAACUGGAGUCCACCUGCUGGGAUGUGACCAGGCACUUCUGCUCAGCCUGAGUUUGAGGAUGAAAUUUAAAGACAAUGUUUUACUGGAAUGUAAAAUCUGUGAUGGUUGAAUAAAAUUUGAAAAAUCUGCA